CUUCUCGUGGUGUAGUUGUAAUGCGCCUGUGUUGUGAGUAGGAUUCAUGAGUUCGAGUCUCACCGAGUGGA
rnacentral:tRNA from 1 species